GUAGGUGGCAAGCGUUGUCCGGGAAUUAUUGGGGCGUAAAGCGCGCGCAGGCGGUUCUUUAAGUCUGAUGUGAAAGCCCACGGGCUCAACCGUGGAGGGUCAUUGGAAACUGGAGAACUUGAGUACAGAAGAGGAAAGCGGAAUUCCACGUGUAGCGGUGAAAUGCGUAGAGAUGUGGAGGAACACCAGUGGCGAAGGCGGCUUUCUGGUCUGUAACUGACGCUGAGGCGCGAAAGCGUGGGGAGCAAACAGGAUUAGAUACCCUGGUAGUCCACGCCGUAAACGAUGAGUGCUAAGUGUUAGGGGGUUUCCGCCCCUUAGUGCUGCAGCUAACGCAUUAAGCACUCCGCCUGGGGAGUGCGACCGCAAAGGUUGA
rnacentral:rRNA from 1 species